rnacentral:lncRNA from 1 species
AUGCAGAAGAUAAAUUUGAAUGCAGUAAAGAAAAGGAUAGAGGCGUGGGUAACUUCUGGAGCUGGAAAGCGAAUGUGCUAUAACCAUUACUAUAAGGGCAAUUUUCCAAACAUUUCACUCAACCUGUGCUCACCUAGGUCAACAAUGCUGCAGGUUCUAUGGACAUCAUAUUUUUCCUGCGAUAAUUUGACACAGUUGGUCACUUCUUUCUCCGUUAAUUCUCUGGUCUUGCCUUCCACUGAACUAUACUCCUCUCAUUUCCCUACCAAACAGCUGACUACUCUUGAGAUAUUUUGUGUUGGUCACGGACACUGUUUCCCAAAGUCAUUUCCUUGUGCCACGGAUAUGGCGAACUUGACCAGCACCUCAGUCUGUGCUUGUUGACCAACUACCUCUAUACAUGUUGGCCCCAUGUCCACAUCAAGCAAAGCUCCCUGAGUAAUUCCUGAGCUGCACCACCAAUGACUGACAGUGACUGCGCCCUCCGAGAUCCCCCGAGUGCCUGCUGGAGGAGCUUCCCUGGGACAGGGCAGAGGAAGAGGCCCCAUCUGUUGCCAAGAUAAGGUCACUUUCUUUGUCUGAAAUAGAAAUGCUGCUUUCUUGGUUUCUUUCCUUUACAAUCAAAUUCACAUAUGAAAACCUGACCAUGCAUGUUAGGGGUGAUACAUACAAUUUCCAUGGUGGGGGGAGUGUUGAGUGAGAGUCUCUUACCAGCUGACCUCUGAUCCAAGAGGAUACCUACAAGUGACAGCCUCCGUCAUACACUGGAUGCUGGGGGCCUUUGGCUCAGCAGCAGUCUUUCUCCUUGGCUUAAGAAUUUUGUCAUUGCCACCAGGAUGGACUGGAGAGACACACCAGAGGCGUCCUCUGCACCUGCUUUGAGGCCUUUGACUUGACCCUGGUUUCCCACGUGGUUUCCCAAGGUCACAAAGAGAAUGGACAAGCUGUGCAAACAAUACCCGUUGUGGCCUGAUCCCCAGUGUUUUCUCCUCUGUAAUCGCAGGUGGCCUCAGGAACAAGAAGAAGUGGGAUAUAUUCUGGAAUCUCUCACUUGCUGAGGAAAAAACAUGCCGGCUUUAGCGUGGAGAGCAGCCUGAUUCUGGCUCUGGCUGGGAUUGGCUAGGAGGUGGCUCAGCAGGGAUGGAAGCACAGGGGCGCCACAGACAGGGGGGGUUCCCAGGCCUGUGCCCCUGGGGCCUGGAGGGACCAGUUUCUAUUUUUCACCUGUUUCUGGAAGUCACCUGACAACCAGUCCUUGUCUGCACACUGUUCCCAAAGGUUGUCUGGCCCAGGAACACAUUUAAACUGAAGAAAUCUCACACCACUUGGCCAGGGCUGCUGUAGAACAUUCUAGCAGCAGAGGAGGUGAGAGGGGCAUGGGCUCCAGGGCAGGGUGAGGUCAGCAAAGAGAUGGGGGCUGAUCCCAGGUGGAGGUGGUCCUUGCUCUUCCUUCCAUGGCCAGGAGGUCGUCAGUGUGAGCGUUUCUCUGAAAGGCCCCGGGACUCUCAGGCCCAGACUGUAUGUAUCCUCUCACUUGCGGGGACAGGAGUCCUGGCCAUGGAGGUCACUGUGCGGGCACCCCUGUGUCUUCCUCAUCCCUUCUCACCCCAGCGCUCAGCCCUCGACAACAACUCUCAGGCCCCAAUAAACAUCUGAUGAUACAGCCCUGGGCUGGGACC